AAAACACCGACUUCCUUUGACCUCCUAUCGCAAGAAAUAACGAUCGAGAUUCGUCACCAAGAUUCUCACUAAGCAAUAGUACUCUGGCAGCUUCAGUGAUUGUUAAUCCCUUUGGUAAAAAAUUCAUUGCUUCCUUGCAGGUUUCCCGGUGUCGUACCUGACCUAUACCUCCAGCAAGCAUAGAUGGACGCAUACAGAGGAGGUACAUCAUGUAAUCUGAUAAGCGCUUGCUAAUCUGGCCAUACGGACCGACAUUACCAGGACGUUGAAGAUAGAAAAGAAUAUCGGUAGCGAUGUGCCAAAGAAGAAUACUGUGUGUGAAUUCAACUGCGUUUAUGGUCCAACUAAGUUUUAAGCGAUCGUCUUUCCCAGUAAUCGCGCUAUUUCCUCUUUCACCCAAUAGUUGAGAGAGGACAUCGAUCUCGUACCCACUUGUUGCAUAUUUAUUGAACCUCAUUUCAAUGUGAUCACUGAUGAAUUCAGUCAAAUAAUUAUCCGCAUUCUCCCAGGUAGUACGCCUGAAUUUCAUCAAAGUGUCCUCAGUGUCAAAAAUCCUUAUUAUUUUUUCAAACAUAGAUUUAGAUGCGUUAAGCGUAGUGCAAUAACUCAAAGGGCUGUGUUGUGCCAACGAUUCCAUUCCUACCUUCUUGCCCUUCUUAAUACGAAACAACCGGUUAGAUGCAAUUUCCUGAUACCUAAACUUGUUUCCACCUUCGUCAACCAGAGCAUUGUCCACUCAGAGAGAACAUGCACAACGGCAGAAUAAAAUUUCAGAAAGAUAGCUCCAACCAGCAGCAAAUAGGCUAUGGCAAUGUCAACUUUCGGGCAGCCCGGCUUUGAAACAAAUAUUGUGAAGGCAGUCAACGCUUAAACAGUAGAUGAAAAGCAGAUGCAUUGUAGAAUUACGGCCACUGGAGAUAGCAUUGUGGGAACCUUUGUGUAGAGCACAUCGUACAAAAAUCCUAGUUCAGUGGCAACCAAUUUGAGAUUUUCCUGAUCAUUGGUGGAUGGCAAUGCAAAUAUGGAACUCAUUAACUCACUGUAUAAGCUCAGCUUCAGGUCUGAAAACAGGGGCUUGAAAAGCUGAAAAGCUGAAAAGACAGAUAUGCUUGAUGAAGACAUCUAUAUUUUUCAAGAAUCUGGUUGCGAACUAAAUAGUCCUCGAGCUGCUCGACCUCUUCAUCCAUACCCAGGCCAACUUCUUCCUCAAUGUUUUCUACUUUACGAGUUGCAAACAAGGAAUUCUUGAACUGUUCGUAGUUUGCACACCGCAAAAUCCAAUUCCUUUCUCCGUACUUGAUUAUUCCGGCUAUGAAUAUUGGAAUUCCUAUAAAUGUGUGAGCAGAAUUGGUCCAAAACCUGAAGUAGACAUAGAAGGCCACUCCAACUUGGACGCAUAGCCCGAGCAAGUGUCUCAUCCACAGCGCGCUAUCCUCUAAGGAGUAAGCAGUGAUAGUAUCAGGGCCACCAAGAUGCAAGAGAAGGAAUGGCGCCCAAAAUGCAACCAGUGAACUGGUUAUUUCCUCCUUGCUGCUCUUAAGGAGGGUACUCAACGCCACGGUUGCCACAUAGUCUGCCAACAAGUACGUUAACCAAACAAGCAUUGCUACAUGGUAUGAACGCUUGCCGCUAUACUUCCGUCGAUUCCCAAAUAUGAUGAGUACAAUUUGAAGAAACAGGCUUAACACAACCAACCCCCGGAGCUACCAUUUGUACCAGACACUCCUCAGAGAGAGUAACGAUAGUUUCUUAAUCACAAUAUCCUUCAUCUCCGUGUACAACAGAACAAUGCCAACUGAAAAUCCAAAACACAGUCUCAAACUGUAAACGAUUUCUAUUAAAAAUAUAUAUACGAUACACAUGAUAUGACUAGAACCGACUUGUUGACCAUAUAUAUAAUAUUGGAAAAUAAAUAUAUGUCAUACAUACAAUAUAAUGCUCUAAUGAAAUAAGUGGAACGCUAAUAAAAAUUAACAAAAAAUGCCAUAAAUAGAUAUAAUAAUUUAUUAUCAUAUUAAGUGAAGUAUAUUAUAGUAUAAUAUUAAGAUUAUAAGUCAUGUUUAGUACAUAGAAUGAUUGAUAGGAUAAUAUGAUAAUUAUUAUAUAUUAUGUUUGAUUUGUAUCUAAUUGAAAGGGUUUGGAUUACUAGAAGGAUUAUCCUCCUCUUAAUAUAGAUUGAUUCAAUCUUCUCAAAUUGGAGAGGAUUAUUUUUAAUCUAUGAGAUUAAACUUACAUAUCUUAUUAUACCUUUAAAAAUUAUAUUAAUAAUUUAAAUUAUAUAAACUUUGAGAAAGGAUAAUUUUGAUUAAUAAGUAAAUUAUUUUAUUUUAAUCCUUAAAUAUAUCAAACAUAUGAUAAGAUGACAUUAUUUAAUAUAAUCUUAUUCAUAAUAUCAUUUUAUCCUGUCACAUCAUAAUUUUGUAUACCAAAUAUAACCUUAAUAUUAUUACCAUUGUUUAUUAUGUUAAUGAUGCAUUUGGUAUUUGAACUCUAAAAAAAUUCAAAUUUAUACUUAAAUUUUAAAAAUAUGACAUUAAAUACUUAAAUUUUGUUUUUUAGUGAUCAUAUUGCGCAUUCAACUAGUUCCAUCAUAGUGAAGUGUUAUGGGUUUUCAACAAUAAAUUAAAAUCCGAAAAUUAUUGCAUUUAAUUGACAAUUGUCAACACAUCAUGUAAUUAACGGAUGAUGGACAUGUAGAUAUUAUAUUGUAAUUCAUAUAAAUUUAGUUUACAUAUUAUUUUGAUUUGAUAAGUUUAAUUCAGUCAUUAAUUCUAUCAAAUUUUUAAUAUUAAAAAUUUUGACGUGACAGUUGACUUGAUGAAAUAAGUAUUGACUUUGUUAACAUGGCAUUGAUAAUGUUGACUUUAUUGAAGUCGCAACCUAAAUCAAUGAAGCCAAUAGUCAAAUUAUGAAAAUAGUUCUCAUAGUCCCAUGAAAUUUGAACUUUAGUUUUUUUAAUAUAAUUAAUAAAAAUCUCAUCUCCAAAUAAGUCAAAUUUGAUAAUAUUGAUAUAAUUACUAAUAAAAAUCAUAUUUUUUGAAUUUCUAAAAACUCAUAUUUCAAAUUUCUAAAAAAUUAUUAUUUUGAAUAUUUUUAGAACUUUUUCAUUUUUUUAAACUAUUAAAUUUGAUAUUUUUAAAUUAAAAAAAUCAUAUUUUUUGUUUAUUUUAAAAUCAGAUUAAAAAAAAAAAGAUUAACAUUUUGACUUUUUAGAAAUUUUCUUGUUUUUUUAAAAAUAUUAAAUUUAUUUUUUCAAUAUUUUAAUUUUUCUAAUUUUUUUUGAAAGUUUAUGUAUUUUUCAAAUUUUAACAUUUUUAUUUAAUCUAAAUAUUUAAUUAUAUUAAUUUUAUUUUUUUAGAAAUUCUUAUAAAAUUUUCCAUAUUUUUAAAUUUUUAUGUUUUUUAAUUAAUUUUUAAAUUUUUUUUUAUUUUUUAAUAGGAAUUUAUAAAAUUUUAAAAAAAUUUAUAUUUUUUAUGUUAUUUAAGUGAAUAAUAAAUUGCAAUAAGAAGCUUUUUGUGCUUCGCCAUUCCUUUGUUUUACCUUAUAUUUUUAUGCUCUUCCUCAAAUAUAUUAAAACAUAACAAAUUCUAAAAACUCGUGCCUUCUCUAUAAUUUAUUUAUAGUUCAUUUAAAUACUAAAAAAUAUAGAAAAUUUCUAAAGAACAUAAAAGAUUUAAAAUAUAGAAAAUUUUAAAAGAAUUCUAAAAAAAUAAAAACAAAAAAGUUAAAUAUUUUGAUUAAAUUAAAAUAUUAAACUUUGAAAAAAAAUACAAACUUUCAAAAAAGGAACUUCAUUUAAAAAUUUAAAAUUUGGCAAAAUAAAUUUUUUCUAUUUAAAACGAUCAUGAAAAUAUCUAAAAACUCAAAAUUUUAAUUUUAAAAAAAUAAAAAUAUGCUUUUUAAAAAAUCUAAAAAUAUGAUUUUUAAAAACUAAAAUAUUUAAAACUAUUAAAUUUAAUAUUUACAAUAUGAAAAAAUUUUCUAAAAAUUCAAAAUUUUGAUUUUUUAAAAUUUAAAUUUUGAUUUUUAAAAAGUAAAAGAAAUUAUUUUACUAGUAAUUAGAUCAAUAUUAUCCAAUUUAGCUUGUCCGUGGACAAGAUUUUUAUGAAUUAAAGUUCCAAAUUUCGUAUAAGUACAUGGAUCAUUUGCAUAAUUUAAUAAUUGAUUUUAUAUAUUCAUGUUACCACAGCAACAAAGUCAAUGCUUAUGUUAUCAAGUCAAUAGCUUACAUCAUUAAAUUAGUUGCCAUGUUAGUAUUUUUAAUAGCAAAAAUUUAAUGGAGUUAGUGAUUAAGCUAAGAUUAUCCAAUCAAAAUAAGUAUAAGGACUAAAUUUCUAUGAAUCAUAAUAAAAUGGCUAAAUUUUAAAUUUUGGCAUAAUACAAGGACCUAUAGCAUAAUUUGACCUUAUAGAAAUUACAUUUACAUUUUACUUAAGAUCCAAUUUUUUUUUUUAUUUAUAGUUAAUAAUAGUCAUGGUUAAUUUAAUAAAUCAUUGAAUAUAAUUUCGCUUAUAAUUUUCUAAUAAAAGUAAUGAUGAGUGCAAAUUAAUCAAUUAAUUUAUGCAAAAUGUAUGCCUUUUAUUUUCAUAACUUAUAUAACAAUCAAAUCAAAUUCACCUUUUCAAUUUUAUUUUUCCAAACAUAAUUAAAAAAAGCUAAAAUAGACAAUUAAAAAUAAAAAAUAAAAAAACUAAAACUAAAAAAAAAAAAGCCAUGUGAUACGAGUUGUUUUGUCAUCACUUCCUCUAUUGACUUUUUUCUUACAAUAUUUAUCUAAUUAAAAAAAAAGUAAAAACACAAAAGAAAGGAAAUCGCAUAAGGGUAUCAUAUGAAUUUAUUAAACUAAUGUGUUAAAUAAUAACUUUAUUAAUAUAAUAUAAAUAAAUAUAAAAUUAAAUAAAUAAUAAAGUAUUUAUUUUUAUAUAUACCCGAGGUGAAAUCGAACAUCCUAAACUUACUUUUGAUCCAAUCUUUAUUUAAAAAAAAAUAAUCCGACUUCAAAUUUUUUUUUUAAAAAGCACUUAUUAAACUAGCGUGAAUCGAAACUCUUUAAAUAUUAAUUAUUUUAUCAUCUAUAUAUUAGUAUUUGUUUUAUAAAAUUUAAUCUAAUUAAAAAUAAAAAAUAAAUUCAAAACCAAAAAAAAAUAUAUUACCAAAAAAAAAAAAACUCCAAACACUAAGCCCAAACAAUAAAUAUAAACUCCAAACAAAUAUAAAAAGAAAAAAAAAAGGAUGGGUUGAUACUUGUGAGUAGCAUGACGAAGGUGGUUGCCAAGUAGGAACCAGAUGCACACCGAAUCCCUGUUUGACGCUCAGUUUUGCGAGUUGCGAGUUGGAACUCAACCCUUCGACUUUACGAUUGGCUGCAAUUAUGCAUAAUUAAGUAGCAACAUGAGUAAUUACUAAAUUAGUUCUAUGAUAAGAUAGAUAUCAUCUUCAGAUGUAAAAAUAAAUAAAUAAAUAAAAAUACAUAUUGAAUAUAAAGUGUCAAACUUCUUCAAGAAUUUAUCCAUAAAUAAACUUUUUUAUAAUAUAAUUUGAUUAAGAAAAAUUUAUAUCCAUACAUACAAAAUAUUUGUAUUGUUUCCAUAUUACUUACUUAUCUAUAUCAACAUAUUUAUUCAAUUAAUAAAAUAAAUAAAAAUAAUGAUAAAGAUAUAUUGUUAUUAAAUUGUUCAUGAAUCAGUAGGUUAAAGAAAGCCAAACCCGAUGGUCAUUGAAAAGUUAAAAUCCUACCUAAUAUUUAACUUGGCCCAGCAUCAAAAGUUCCAAUUUUUAAAAAUAUAUUAAAAUAUUUUAAAAAAUAUAAAAAUUUAUUAUGUAUUUUAGAAUUAAAAUUAAAUAAAAAAAUCAAAUUCAUUAAUAAAAUAAAUUUUUGGACCAAACCCAAACUACAAAACUUGCGUGCAGAGAGCUCGAUUUUGAAUUAAGCUAAACUCGCUGGUCGGAUGGUAACUCGACUAAUGGACUGAUCUAAACAUUAAAGAGCGAGGGCACACCUGCUUCUGCUUUUGCUUUGUUCUUAGCUUCUGCUUGCUAAGGCUUGAAUGGAUCUACAAACCAAAAGUACAUGCCAAAUAGAAAUUAAAAAAAAAAUUGAGUGUAACGAAUUUCUCAGAAAGGUAACAAAGACAAGUCUAGAAUUCCAUAACAAUUUUGUUUCUAACCACCAGUUUGUUUUAUAGAGUUGGAGGAGGAUUACCGUACGAUAUGCAACACAUGUCCUUUGUCUUGUUAAUGAAAAAUGGUAUAGUAUUAAUUUUGCGAGACAUGAAGCAAAGAAUUUCCUUUGCCCUUUUUUUCGAUAUCCUUCACCAACAAAUACAUAGCAACAUUUUGUGAGUUCCUAGACUUUCAUCUCCACGAAUUUGUAGCUAAAGCUGAUUUUUCAUUUAUAUCUUCGGACUCUAAUAUUCCCUUUCCAAGUUUUGAUUGAAACCAAGAUAAAAUCUUCAAAGAACAUAUAAACUGACUUCAAUAUGCUCUGCAAAUACUAUAUAUUUUUUUUAAGGUUUAUAAUUUUAUUUCCACUAAUUAUUGUAGUCUUACGUUAUAUUUAGAUAAGUAUUAAUUAAAAAAAAGUUUCUUUCAAAUAAAUAAAGGAUACAUGUUAGUUUAAGUAAUUAGGAUUCAAAUUAUGAUAAAUUCAAAUAUAAUAAAUUAGCGAAUUAUUAUUUAUAAUAUUUAAAAUUUUGAUUUUUUUAUUUUAAUAAUUUAAUUUUUAAAAAAUGUUAUAAUCACUUGACAUAAGCAAACUUAUCAUUAAGCAUUCUAUAUCAUUAUACCUUGGGGAAAAGAUAAUCAAAAAAAAUUUUCAAAACAUCAUGUGAUCAAACACUUAAUUUAUUUUAAAUUCUAUCAUCACUAUUUUUGGUAAUUAUUUUCAAAAGAAUUUACUUUUUUCUUAAAUUAUUCUCUUUGUUUUCUUCUCUUCUCUUCUUUACAAAAGGAAAAAGAAAGAAAAAGAGAAGUUCCCUGUCUAGGUGUCCUUUUGAACAAAAAAAAAAAAAGUAACAAACAUAACGACAAUGAUAUUUAUAUUUUGGGGAAUUAGAAAAAAAGGUGGCCUAUUAUAAAUUUUUAUCAUAAGAAAAGUAUUUAUUAGGAAAGAAAUGGAAGCUUUUAAAUUUAUUAUUACUGUUUUCACCUUAAUCUAAAGAAGAAAACAAGGAAAUUUUAUAUAUAUAUAUGAUCUUAAUUAAUUAAGCCAAGUAAUAAGCCAAUUGAUGAAGCUUAUCCCAACGCCAAGGGGGCUUAUGGUGCUCGCUUUUAAGGUCAUCCGAAAGUUCAGCCAUUUCGAUAUGCCUACUCAAACCAAGAUGUGCCAUGAGAAGGGCAACGUGAGUGAGCAGCUCCUUACUUUGCUUAAGUUGCUUGGCAUGCUCUCUCCAUGCACAGUGCGAUGCAGCAUAAGUCAGCAUGUCCGCCCACACGCUAGCAAUCAUUUUCCAUUUUUCUUCUUCAUCCCAUCGAAAUUGCUUUACCAACAUUACCAAUUUUCGGGAGAGCACGCAUCCAUCAAAAAACACCGACUUCCUUUGACCUCCUAUCGCAAGAAAUAACGAUCGAGAUUCGUCAUCAAGAUUCUCACUAAGAAAUAGUACUCUGGCAGCUUCAGUGAUUGUUAAACCCCUUGGUAAAAAAUUCAUUGCUUCCUUGCAGGUUUCCCGGUGUCGUACCUGACCUAUACCUUCAGGAAGCAUAGAUGGACGCAUACAGAGGAGGUACAUCAUGUAAUCAGAUAAGCGCUUGCUAAUCUGGCCAUACGGACCGACAUUACCAGGACGUUGAAGAUAGAAAAGAAUAUCGGUAGCGAUGUGCCA
rnacentral:lncRNA from 1 species